UUCUUGAUUUCAAAGUUAGUUUUAUUUGGUUCCAAAUUCGUAUUGUGUUGUGGAUAAUUGGGUUCUUCUUAUAUUAUGUAUUGUUUAAUUUUAUCGGGGAGAAGAGGAUCGCUCCUAUAUUAAAAGGGGAGCAAUCCUCUUUCUCCAUUCUGAUCCAUUCUACCUGUUGGGCAGAGCUGUCUAACCAAUAAAUUAUGUUUUUAAUAUUCACAGAUCCGAAG